rnacentral:lncRNA from 1 species
GUCUCUCUCUCUCUCUCUCUGCGUGCGUGUAUUUAGUAAAAUCGUAUUUUAGACUCUCAUUUACGCGAACAAGAUGAGAUUGCAUGAUUGGAGACGGUAUAUCGGGCACAGAGUCAACUGCUGUAUUCCGAUCCUGCCUUGCAGAUUCAAGUUUCCCCUCUUGGGGGGGCACCUUCGACUAUGACCCUAAACCAGGUAAGUCAGGAGUUAAUUCCAGGAAAUUCAACAGGCUUUGCUUCUCACCUGUGGAGACUAGGAUGCUAGGCGGGCUUACGAGGGAGGAAGGAAGUCCCUACAGACACACCUUCCAUAAACCCCUUUGGGCUGCCAAAAAGACACACCUGGGUGCAGAGACUGCAGGGAGGCAUCAAGGCCCUCUUUCAUUGACUGUAUGCACAACAUCCACUUAAAGCGCCCCCCGCCCCAGUCCUGGCACUCGGAGCUCUCGCAGGGGUCACCUGCCACUUUAUUGACGUCCCCUGAAAAACGGAGGCGUCCCCUUCCUGUCUGCUGCGGGAGGGAGCCUCUCCCGGGACACACCGGGAUCCAAUCAGGUCCAACCGGUUCAGCCCUUUAUAUUCUUGGGGCGUCUAGGUUGCUGAGUCCACCGCGAGGAUCCGCAGUAAGUGUUGAUUUUUUUUCCCUCCCCGUGCUCCACAAUGGAAAUGUUAUAGCUCUGUUUGCUGAACAGUUUCGCUUUUUAUUCUUGAAAUUGUGAGUUCCUGUAAUCUCCAUCCCUGUCAAACUAUGGGGGGUGCUAAUGAAUGUGGCUUGGAUCUGCAAUUGGAGUCCAUCUGAGUUAGCUGUUUAUCUAACCUCUUCCGCAGGUGGAGAGGUUUGCUGGAUGUGGAGUGAGUUUUCCUGCUCUAGUUUACAGCCCGUCACCCUGUGAAUUCCGACUUACUUUCCCCCAUGGGCUCUGUGGGGGCGCCAGGGGGGAGGGGGCGAAAUGGGAGCUGCCUCUGAGACUGGGGUAUUCGUUGGGGUAUUCUGGUUCAUGAAGGCGGUUGUGUGUGAGAAGGGAGUUUCUUGGGGAAAGUGGGACAGGAUGGCUAGGUGGCGUGGACGAAAGUGCCAGAACUGCUUGAGGCAAUACAGAAACGUGUGGUUUAAUCUCCCCAUCAACAGCCACUUAGACUAGCUCAAACUCAAAAAAAAAAUUCAGGUAGGUAGCCGUGUAGGUACCUUAUAACAAGAACAAACUUAGUUGGUCUCUAAGGUGCGACUGGACAAUUUUAUUUUUUUAUAUAUUUCACCAAAAAUGUGCUAGUUAAAGAAAGGGAAGAUCCACAGCGAAACAGACACAUUGGGAACCUCACAUAUGGUACAAUUUAGUUCAGGUGCCUUGGACAUGACUAUUUAAGCAGUAUGCAAAAUGCCCAAUUAAAUGAUACCAUGUAUUGAUUAUAGAUCCCAAAGAAUAUGGGAAGUAAGGGUUUGUCCAUCUGUUUUCAUAGAAGCUAGAGAUAGCUGUGAGGCUCCCAAUAUGCCUGUUUGUCCGUGAAUCUUCCCAUUUUUCAUUAAACUAGCUCAAACUUAGUGCACAAACUUUCAAAAACUUGAAUUUAAAUGUUGAGGUGACCUGAAUACACCUUUGGUCACUCUUUCCUGUUCUCUUUGUCGUCCUUUGCAGCACUGCCAUUCUGUGGCCCGCAGGAAGCAGCAGAGGGUCUUGCACCACUUUCCACCUGCACACCUUCACUUGAUGGAUCAAACAUGGUCUAGUGGCAGAACCGUAGCCCUCAGCUGACUCUCCGUUAUCGCGAACGCAAAAAACCCCUCCGAAACUUGAACAAGAGGCAGCCUGCACGCUUCCUUCAUGCGACCCUGUUGCAGCUUCAGGUGUUGUACUAGGGUCGCCUGCUUCUCGUAGGUGGGACACAGGCUUUUCUUGAAGGUGGCUUCUGGUGCUGCCUGUAGGUCUGGAUGUUUUAUUUUGUCUUCCUGGUGUGAUGUCGGCCCAGCCCGACGGAAACUGCGGCUCCCAACAGCCACCAGCUGCAGAAGAGAAGAUUGGUUGGCAAUCGGUGCUUUGGCUCUUUUUGGAAUUUGGCCCAGAGAACACUUUCAAAAUGCAAGGUUUAUUGCGGGUUUAAACAAGGUGCAGUGGUGGCAUUGCAGUCCAUGAAGUUUAUAUCAUUCAGGCGCCAUCAUCGUGAUCUGAAAAUACUCCUCUGGAGCUUGAACAAGAGGCAGGUUGCACCCUGGAUGCUAGGGAGGCAGUUGGCCCAGGGGAUCCACGUUGGAGGGAUCUGCAGGAGGGAUCUUCCAAGCAUUUGCCUUCCACUCUUUCACUCUUCGGUUCUGGAAGAGGGAGGGUGAAUUGCACAGCACACUCUAGAAUCUCCACCAGCUGCACCAGACCAGAGUCUCCCUUGAAAGACUUGAACGAGGCUCUCCAGGACCGACUGUGGACCUGUGAUUAUAGGAGGCACUCUGUGCUUCUGAGAAGCCCUAAUAGGUCUGCAUUGGACAGCAGACAGGAGUCAUGUAUUAACUGAUAAAUUUUGGGGUCAGGCUGGUUCUCACUUUCUAGACUCACUCAGCCUCCAGGACAAAAGGUCCUGAGUUGUUCUGGGCUGCAAAGGGGAAGUGGGGUUAGUAAAGCUCAGUUCACCUGCCUUUGGAGGUGAAAGGGUUCCAGGGCUCCAGGUCACCUCUGGAGAAGCGACUCUUCCCACCUCCACUCCCUCCCACCCUUCUCACCCUUCCUCCUCUGUGCACCUGGAAGCAAUUCUGCUAGUGAGGCCAACCAGCAGUGUGCUCCGGUGGUGAUCGGGUUUGGGGACUUGCAGAAUCCCUUGUUGUGGGAUUCCCCGAGCUGCGGAAGAGAAGUGGGUUGUCAGGGUUCACUUUCCCCCCUCCCUUGACAUGGAGAGGGCCAGCACUCUGUCUUGAGGACUAGAUGCUGAACAGCACUGGAGGAACUCUGAGGUGGAGGGAAGAGAAACAACAGAGGUGAAGACUCUUCUGGAACCAAGAAGAUGUGUGAAUUCAUUUCUCACUCCUCUUGCCUGGUGGCAGGGAAGGAACUGAGCAGAGAAGCUGGGGGCGGGGGCUUUCAUGGUCUGCCAAGAUUAUUAUUAAAUUUCUGUACUGUACUGCUCUUUGACUAGGGCUCACAGGGCAGUUUACAAAACAGAAAACACAAAAAUGCAUAGCAUAGUAACAAACAAUAUACGCCAGCUUCUUACUAUUUUAUAUAUUUUUGUAUUCUAAACCACUUUGUGAUCCUUGAAUAAAGGGUGGCAUAGAAAUUUAAUAAAGUGCAAAUUCUGCUGGUAAUUUUUAUGUCAAUAAAAUGGGC